GACCGCGUAGCUCAGCUGGCAGAGCAUUGGGCUAGUAUUCCAAAGGUUGUAGGUUCGAUUCCCACCGUGGCCA
rnacentral:tRNA from 1 species